AGUCAACCCCCGGGAAGGCCAGGAUGUGGCCUUGUUUCGGCAAGGCCGCCCUAUCACCACGGAGAUGGGCAGGCAGGAGACAUCCCCAGUCAGUCGGGCCCAGGUGGGGAUCAGGAGGUUUCAGGAAAACACAAGCUAUGCAGUGGGGCAGGUGAGGCUUGGCCUGCCCAGCCUGUCCUGAGUGUCAUGGGAACAGCUCUGGAAGUGACUCCUCUGUCCUCUGGAAUCUGGAUCAGAUGGGGCCUUCUCCAGACAUCUGUGCUCAGCAGAUGCGACAGACGGCCCCUCGAGUGUAGCCCAGGAUCCAGCACCGGCCCAAGCAGGUGGGAGCUGGGCUGUGGAACAAAUCACCACAAACUGGAGGGCCGAAAACACCAGCAAUGGGCUCCCUCUUGGUUCUGGAGCCGAGAAGGCAGAAAUGAAGGCGUCAUCAGGGUUGCUCCUUCUGGGGCCUCAGAGCAGGACUCUGUUCCCUGCCCGUCCCCAGCUCCGGUGGUUGGCGGCCUUCCUCCGCCUGUGGCCCUGCACUCCAAUCGCUGCCUCUGUUGUCACUUGGCCCCCCAUGUGCCUCUGUGUCUCAGAAGGACACAAGUCAUAUUGAAUUAAGGACCCUCCCUACCCCAGCAUGACCCCGUUUUAACUUAGAACUUUCACAAUGAUCUGAUUUGCAAAGAAGGCUGGAUUCUGAGGUCCUGGGAAGGACAUGAAUUUUGGGGGAUGCUGUUCACCUCAGUACACCGGUGCAGAGUUCGGUGACACCGCCAAGUUGCUUGACGGUGAGCAGCCUGGCAUUGUAGAAAGGCAGAGGUUGACUUUAGUUUGGUCCCUGGCUUUGUCCUUUAUUUGUUCUGUGACACCUUGGACAAGUUUUGUGACCCGAGUGUCAGUUUCCUAGGAACCAGUGACAAUGAUCAGAGAUAGGGGGACUCAAGGGUAAGUAAAGUGCAGGAUGAACUGCAGCGGAGCGUGUGAGGUGCCUGGCAGGUGUCGGCCACCCAGUGGCGCUCGAAGCACCUGCUGCUCCCUCCUUCCUCGCUCCCAGCUGCCUUCUCUGCUGGGAGCUCUUUGGAGAGGAGCUGUGUGACUGGUUCAUCCUGUCCCUCGAGGAGCUACCAGUUCAGUCAAGGACAUUGAGAAGCAGCGGAUGGUGACAGUGCAGUGUGACAGUGGUGUGCUGUGGGAGCCCCAUGGAGCGGCUACCCAGGCAGGAACGUCAGGGAGGCUUCCUGGAGGAGGUGGUGCUUCAGAUGAGACUUGAAGGAGCAGAAGGUGUUUGCUAGACAAAGGGGCUUGCUUGGAUGAAUGGUCUUCAGAGCGUGGUCCCAGUAAGGAAGGAGACCACUACUACUCUUGCUGCCCUCCUCCCCCGACCUUGCCUAGUUUACAAGACAGGAGGAAAGAGAGAAAGCAAAAAGUUAGAAAAAAAAAAAAAAAAAACAGAAGUAAGAUAAAUAGCCAGAAGACCUUGGCACCACCACCUGGCCCUGGUAGUUAAAAAAAGUAAUAAUAAUAAUAUCGACCCCUGACUUAAACUACUUGUAUUAUCUGUAAAUUCCAGACAUUGUAGGAAAAAGCAUUGCAAAAUUUUCUGUUCUGUUAGCUGAUUCAUGUAGCCCCCAGUCACGUUCCCCAUGCUUGUUCGAUUUAUCAUGACCCUUUCACGUGGGCCCCUUAGAGGUGUAAGCCCUUAAAAGGGCCAAGAAUUUCUUU
rnacentral:lncRNA from 10 species